rnacentral:rRNA from 1 species
ACGAACGCUGGCGGCAUGCCUUACACAUGCAAGUCGAGCGCGAAAGUGUCUUCGGACAUUAGUAGAGUGGCAAACGGGUGAGUAACGCGUGGGAAUCUACCUUAUAGUACGGGAUAGCCUCGGGAAACUGGGAUUAAUUCCAUAUACGCCCUUCGGGGGAAAGAUUUAUCGCUAUAAGAUGAGCCCGCGUAAGAUUAGCUAGUUGGUGGGGUAAAAGCCUACCAAGGCAACGAUCUUUAGCUGGUCUGAGAGGACGAUCAGCCACAUUGGGACUGAGACACGGCCCAAACUCCUACGGGAGGCAGCAGUGGGGAAUAUUGGACAAUGGGCGAAAGCCUGAUCCAGCAAUGCCGCGUGAAUGAUGAAGGCCCUAGGGUUGUAAAGUUCUUUUAGUGGGGAAGAUAAUGACGGUACCCACAGAACAAGCACCGGCUACCUUCGU